UGGUGAUCACCGCAGAUUUACCCGUCUGUGAGAUUGAUCCGUUUUAAGGUAAGAAAGAGCGACGCAAUUAUGGGACAGGCAUUGAGCAAGCAUGAUUUAUUUCUUAGGGGCCUCAAAGAGUCCCUCAAGACACGAGGAACAAGGGUUAAGAAAAAGGAUCUCAAAAAGUUUUUCGAUUUUGUGAAUGAUGUUUGUCCAU
rfam:Erinaceus europaeus unplaced genomic scaffold scaffold00732, whole genome shotgun sequence